UAAUAUCCAUUUUGUUCAAUUACAAAUGUGCCUAAAUUAAUUGUAUAGUUAUAAUUAUUGUUGUUUUCAAUGGUUUUUGAGCUUCAAUACCAUUUCUGAGAUCUGACAAAGCGGGCCUUCAAGAAUUACACUGAUGCAAAAACACUUCCAAAAACAAAAAACAAAAAUACCCUCUGAGAAGCUAGCUCUUUCUAAUAAAUUUUAAACCUGAUCAACUAAUCCGAGUUCCAUUUAAGGAACACUACAAGGGAAGAAAUGACAUAUAAUUUAGAGAAAGGUUAUCAAAUCUGACUUCCAAUAUUUUAAAAAUAUUUUUUGAAAUUGGAAUUUCUAACAACAUCCUAAGGUGUGUGAAUGCUUUUUGUUGUAGUGGGUUCCAAGUUUGCUUUCUGCCUCCUGAGAGUCACUCAGCACUUUUCUGUCUAGCUGUGUUCCUCAUAGUCAUGCACAUUAUUUACGUCUCUUUUCUUUGGAAAUAGCCAAUAACUUGGCUUUCUACAACCACUCUUUAAGGAGACACUGUAUGCCUUAGGGAAACUAGGAAAAAAACCUUUAAAUAUAGACUGUGCAGAAUAAUUACAAUAAACUCUUAAUUUUAUAUGGUGGGGGAAAGCAGAGAUAACAUCCAACUGAAGUCUACAGUCACGCCCCAAAUUUCAUUUCAGAAAGCAAUUUCAACUUCUCAUUUAAAAAAACCUGUUAUUUGCAGCAAAAUUGGCUGAUGUGAGUUUUGCUUCUUAUUUUUCGCCAGCCAGAGGGUAAAGCUAGGAACAUACAAACUAGAAGUGCCUCGAACUCAAUCAAUUCUCAAGGAAAUGGAAAUUAACCUUUUCAUUUGACAUUGUGGAAGAAGAAUUCCGCAGGAAGUGUAAACACAGGUAGCUUUGAUCUCAACUCUACCUUGUCCAGAUGCCUGCACAUUGACUCUGAACAUUCUUGAAGAACAGCAUGUGAGGGCCCCUUGUGGAUGAUAAAGACAUAACUAGGCAAAGCCACAACUCAUGAUUUCUAUAGUUACCAACCCUAUUGUAGCAAUCACCACCAGUUGUGUCUUUUUCACUGGAAAGGAAAUUUAAUUACAGAAACAGAGCAUGCUUAGAGUGCAUGGAAUGGAUUGGAGGAUACCUCCAAAAGCUGACCAAUCUCACAUGCAAGUUGAAGUACUGCUGUCUCAAAAAAAAAAAAAAAAAAGACAGCAAACAAAGAGCAAAACUAUCU